UACGGAGGAUCCAAGCGUUAUCCGGAUUUAUUGGGUUUAAAGGGUGCGUAGGCGGAAUGAUAAGUCAGUGGUGAAAGCCUGCAGCUUAACUGUAGAAUUGCCGUUGAUACUGUCAUUCUUGAGUAUAUUUGAUGUGGGCGGAAUGUGUCAUGUAGCGGUGAAAUGCUUAGAUAUGACACAGAACACCGAUUGCGAAGGCAGCUCACAAAACUAUAACUGACGCUGAGGCACGAAAGCGUGGGGAUCAAACAGG
rnacentral:rRNA from 1 species